CAUAAGAAUAUUUUUAUAACACUGUAUAAUGCAUCUUGUUCAUGUACCCCACAUACCCCAUAUUGACUCUCUCCUUUCCCACCUCAAUUUUGCAUCUGUUUUCAUGUCAUAUGCAUGUGUUUCUUUGUGUGUAAAAUAUAGGUUCAACAAAUGAGAAGAAAAUGUAAUAUUUGUCUUUCUGAGCAUGACUUGGUUUAAUAUAAAAAUCUCAGGAGUUGAAAAGAAAGCUCAACAGUUAAGAGCACAGACUGCUCUUGCAGAGGACACAAGUUCGAUCCCCAGCACCCGUAUUGCAGCUCACAACCUUCUCUGACACCAGAUUCAGGGGAUCAGACAUCAUCUUCUGACCUCUGCAGGCACUGCAGUCACAACAUACCUUCAGGUGCUGGUGCAGGAACUCAGUAAUGAACUUCUAUAAAUAAUGUGUAGCAAUGACAUAGCAAUGACCUGGAAGCACUUAAGAUAAACCCAGAUGAUUUUUGUGUGUGUAAGUAUACAUGCACAUGAAUA